rnacentral:misc_RNA from 1 species
AACGCACAUUGCGCCCCUCGGUAUUCCGUGGGGCAUGCCUGUUCGAGCGUCAUUUACCGCCUCAAGCUCAGCUUGGUGUUGGGCGUCUGUCCCGCUGCUCUGCGCGGACUCGCCUCAAAGUCAUUGGCAGCGAUCUCGUCAGCUUCUCGCGCAGCACAUUGCGCUUCUUGGAGCCCUGGCGGGUUGGCGUCCAGUAAGCUACUCCACGACUUGACCUCGGAUCAGGUAGGGAUACCCGCUGAACUUAA